AUACGGAAGGUCCGGGCGUUAUCCGGAUUUAUUGGGUUUAAAGGGAGCGCAGGCGGAGAUGCAAGCGUGACGCCAAAUUUCGGGGCUCAACCCCGUCUCGCGUCGCGAACUGCGUCCCUUGGUUGCGGGAAGGGGAGGCGGAACUCGCGGUGUAGCGGUGAAAUGCAUAGAUAUCACGAAGAACUCCGAUCGCGAAGGCAGCCUUCCGGCCCGUCAACGACGCUCAUGCUCGAAGGUGCGGGUAUCAAACAGGAUUAGAUACCCUGGUAGUCCGCACAGUAAACGAUGGACACCCGCGGUUUGGCCUAUAUGGCUGAGCCGCCAAGCGAAAGCGUUAAGUGUCCCACCUGGAGAGUACGCCGGCAACGGUGAAACUCAAAGGAAUUGACGGGG
rnacentral:rRNA from 1 species